AAGAAGGCAACAGCUGAGCAACGUGAGAUCAAGAGCCAUAUUAAUUUAAACAGGGGCUGAAAGUGGCAUUUGAGAGAGAAGAUACUUCCUCUCGUAGUGGACACUUGUCUUUUCAGAAGAUUUAUACGACUGAGAGUCAAAACUUUUACCAGAGACUUUCAUAGUCAGUUUGAAUUCUGCAAAAUUUCUCUUUAUCUUCUGGAAUGUAUGCUCUAGACUUGGAGUGGCUCAAGCUCUUCGAUGUGAUCCUAUCAAUGUCAAGAGAAAGAAGCACUGAAGAGUCAUAAUUGUGUCCUGAUUUAUAAAUCGGAGACAGAGGGAGACGAAAACCACACUCCAGAAAGUAGCUUAAUCGGACUCACUACUAAGAUGUUAAAAGUGAAGAGGCUGGAAGAAUUCAACACGUGUUAUAACAGCAACCAGCUGGAGAAAAUGGCCUUUUUUCAGUGCAGGGAAGAGGUGGAGAAAGUGAAGUGUUUUCUGGAAAAAAAUUCUGGGGACCAGGAUUCAAGAUCUGGACAUAAUGAGAUGGAAUCUUGCUGUGUCUCCAGGCUGGAGUGUAGUGGCGCGAUCUCGGCUCACUGCAACCUCUGCCUCCCGGGUUCAAGCAAUUCUCCUGCCUCAGCCUCCCGAGUAGCUGGGACUACAGGUGCCAGCCAUCACGCCCGGCUAAUUUUUUGUAUUUUUAGUAGAGAUGGGGUUUCACCAUGUUGGCCAGGAUGGUCUCGAUCUCCUGACCUCGUGAUCUACCCGCCUCAGCCUCCCAAAGUGCUGGGAUUAUAGGCGUGAGCCACCGCGCCCAGCCUAGUCUCUGCUUUUUUAAAAAAAAUGUUAGGACAGUGGUCCCUAAACUUGUCUGUGUAUUAGAAUCACCUGGGAAAUCUUUAAAAAUUCUAAGGACCAGGUAAAUUAAAUUAUAAUCUCUGGGAAUAGGACUGAUUUUUGUAUUUUUAGUAGAGACGGGGUUUUGCCAUGUUCACCAGGCUGGUCUCGAACUCCUGACCUCAGGUGAUCCACCCGCCUCAGCCUCCCAAAGUGUUGGGAUUACAGGUGUGAGCCACCACAUCCAGCCCAGACUAAUUUUUCUGAUGACAAAUGCUGCUUGUUGAUGUGAAUUCUGAUAUGGCACACACUUGAGCCUCACUUUGUUAGCUAUUAAUUUGUGUUACUGAAUUUACAGGCCUGGAAUACAAUUUGUGCUUCUUUUUAAAUAAAUUUCAUACUUUUUUUUUAAUGGACUUGUAAUCUACCUGAACUUGAAUUUGUUGAGGGUUUACGCUAAUGAAAAUAACAGAAAGACAAACUGUGAGAUAUAUCAUGCCAUUUAUAAUUAAUAAAUCACCAAACAGAGGCACAAACUUCAAGGGCUAUAAAAUGCCACACAUUUUCACAGACAGUUAAUAGUAAAUUAUUUGGCACAGACCCUUCUGUAGCUGGGUAGGAAGUUACUGUAUUUAGUUGCUUUCAAACUCGUAAUUUUACCUGUGGAAGGGUGGCCCUCUUUUGACUCUUUCAAGAACUAUUAUAAAACAUGAGAUGUUUGUGUGCAUGUGUUGGGGGGAUUAUGCCUUACCCUUCCAGUUUACAGAAAUGCUGCUG
rnacentral:lncRNA from 1 species